rnacentral:tRNA from 1 species
CGGGGCGUAGCGCAGCCUGGCAGCGCACCUGCUUUGGGAGCAGGGGGUCCCCGGUUCAAAUCCGGGCGCCCCGACCA